GGCCUCUUCAGCAGUACAUAUACUCAAAUCAGAACAAUGCAGAGAAGAUUAGCCUGGCCUCUGUGCAUUUAUGACAUGUAAGUUCAGAAGUAUUCCAUUUUUAA